GACUUGGUGGCUCAGUCGGUAGAGCAUGAGACUCUUAAUCUCAGGGGCUACAAUUCUAAGGAUCU